UCAUAAAUAAGAUUAAAAACGCUUUUUAAUUUUGCCAGUUCAAUAUAAUGUAUGGGAAAAUUUAAAGUCUUUCGACUUGAGAAAUGUUCAACAAUUAAUUGUGAAUUGUAUGUUUCAGUGCAGAAUAGUACACGUCAUUUUCAAAACUUGGAUCCAAACCGACACACAUUUAAUUUAAGAUGAUUCUGAGUAUCAAACACAGACACUUCAAAAGCCACCUCCUGUCAUUCAGUUUCCAAAAGAGAGAGCAUCUCAACCCCACUUGUCUUCUCCAGAGCCAAGUAGAUAUCCACAGCUAACUGACAUUCACAAUACGCCAAAAGAAAGAAGUGCAAAUGCAGCUCCUCCCAACUUGUCGGGAAAAUCUGAACAGUUGUUGCAUGUUCAGGAUCAGCAGCUAUUCACCGCAAUUGAAAAAAAUUCAAGAGGAACAGUCCCAGUAGAGAGAAAUGCUGCAGUCUAUACUGCAGCUAAUUCAAAAUAUUCCAUUCUCAUUCUCCAUUUUGGAGACAAGAAAUCUCCCCAACACAAUUCAUUUCUCUUGUGAGAGUUAAGAGGAUAUUGAGGCUUUGGAAGCUGAGUUAAGUGAUGGUGUGGUUCAAAAUAACAAGUUGUUUUUCCUUUUCACCCCAACAUGUAUUUUGUGAAGAUUUCGUCCUGUCCUCAUCACAUGAUGAAACUUCUGAAUCUGCCAAGUUUGUGUCAUGAGUAAGAAGUCGACAUAUUAUAAACUAUUUAAAGGAAAUGAUCUUACCUGAAGGAAACAAACUUUGGAACUUUAGAAAUUCAAUUUCCAUAUGACUUAGGAUAUAUUGUUAUAUAAUUUCAUAUUGUAUGAAAUUCUUUCAAAUUGAUUUUAUUUGGAGUCCUGAAAGAUAAGAGAAUAUUGAAUAAGACAGAAGAUAAAUGAUUAUGAAUUAAAACAGAAAAGAAGAUGAUAUGGUAAAAAUAGAAAAAGUUAAAAAAUACAUAAGAAUAUCACAAGAUCUGAGGCACAAAGAUAUAAGUAUGUAAAUCAGUUAAGACUGGAUUCAAAUAUGAUGAGACAUUUAACGAUAACUUUUCUUUAAAAUAAGCUGGGGUAAGAAAAGAUAAAAGUUGA
rnacentral:lncRNA from 1 species